rnacentral:tRNA from 1 species
GGCUCCAUAGUUUAAUGGAUAGAACGGGGGUUUCCGGUACCCUUGGUGUGGGUUCGAUUCCCUCUGGAGCUA